CCUGGAGAUAGCUGGUUCUCUCCGAAAUAGCUUUAGGGCUAGCCUCAAGUGAUGAUUAUUGGAGGUAGAGCACUGUUUGGACGAGGGGCCCCUCUCGGGUUACCGAAUUCAGACAAACUCCGAAUGCCAAUUAAUUUAACUUGGGAGUCAGAACAUGGGUGAUAAGGUCCGUGUUCGAAAGGGAAACAGCCCAGACCACCAGCUAAGGUCCCAAAAUAUAUGUUAAGUGGAAAAGGAUGUGGCGUUGCCCAGACAACUAGGAUGUUGGCUUAGAAGCAGCCAUCAUUUAAAGAGUGCGUAAUAGCUCACUAGUCGAGUGACACUGCGCCGAAAAUGUACCGGGGCUAAACAUAUUACCGAAGCUGUGGAUUGUCCUUUGGACAAUGGUAGGAGAGCGUUCUAAGGGCGUUGAAGCAUGAUCGUAAGGACAUGUGGAGCGCUUAGAAGUGAGAAUGCCGGUGUGAGUAGCGAAAGACGGGUGAGAAUCCCGUCCACCGAUUGACUAAGGUUUCCAGAGGAAGGCUCGUCCGCUCUGGGUUAGUCGGGUCCUAAGCUGAGGCCGACAGGCGUAGGCGAUGGAUAACAGGUUGAUAUUCCUGUACCACCUAUAAUCGUUUUAAUCGAUGGGGGGACGCAGUAGGAUAGGCGAAGCGUGCGAUUGGAUUGCACGUCUAAGCAGUAAGGCUGAGUAUUAGGCAAAUCCGGUACUCGUUAAGGCUGAGCUGUGAUGGGGAGAAGACAUUGAGUCUUCGAGUCGUUGAUUUCACACUGCCGAGAAAAGCCUCUAGAUAGAAAAUAGGUGCCCGUACCGCAAACCGACACAGGUAGUCAAGAUGAGAAUUCUAAGGUGAGCGAGCGAACUCUCGUUAAGGAACUCGGCAAAAUGACCCCGUAACUUCGGGAGAAGGGGUGCUCUUUAGGGUUAACGCCCAGAAGAGCCGCAGUGAAUAGGCCCAAGCGACUGUUUAUCAAAAACACAGGUCUCUGCUAAACCGUAAGGUGAUGUAUAGGGGCUGACGCCUGCCCGGUGCUGGAAGGUUAAGAGGAGUGGUUAGCUUCUGCGAAGCUACGAAUCGAAGCCCCAGUAAACGGCGGCCGUAACUAUAACGGUCCUAAGGUAGCGAAAUUCCUUGUCGGGUAAGUUCCGACCCGCACGAAAGGCGUAACGAUUUGGGCACUGUCUCAACGAGAGACUCGGUGAAAUCAUAGUACCUGUGAAGAUGCAGGUUACCCGCGACAGGACGGAAAGACCCCGUGGAGCUUUACUGUAGCCUGAUAUUGAAAUUCGGCACAGCUUGUACAGGAUAGGUAGGAGCCUUUGAAACGUGAGCGCUAGCUUACGUGGAGGCGCUGGUGGGAUACUACCCUAGCUGUGUUGGCUUUCUAACCCGCACCACUUAUCGUGGUGGGAGACAGUGUCAAGCGGGCAGUUUGACUGGGGCGGUCGCCUCCUAAAAGGUAACGGAGGCGCUCAAAGGUUCCCUCAGAAUGGUUGGAAAUCAUUCAUAGAGUGUAAAGGCAUAAGGGAGCUUGACUGCGAGACCUACAAGUCGAGCAGGGUCGAAAGACGGACUUAGUGAUCCGGUGGUUCCGCAUGGAAGGGCCAUCGCUCAACGGAUAAAAGCUACCCCGGGGAUAACAGGCUUAUCUCCCCCAAGAGUUCACAUCGACGGGGAGGUUUGGCACCUCGAUGUCGGCUCAUCGCAUCCUGGGGCUGUAGUCGGUCCCAAGGGUUGGGCUGUUCGCCCAUUAAAGCGGUACGCGAGCUGGGUUCAGAACGUCGUGAGACAGUUCGGUCCCUAUCCGUCGUGGG
rnacentral:rRNA from 2 species